rnacentral:rRNA from 1 species
GACGAACGCUGGCGGCGUGCUUAACACAUGCAAGUCGAGCGGUAAGGCUCCUUCGGGAGUACACGAGCGGCGAACGGGUGAGUAACACGUGAGCAAUCUGCCCUUCUCAUCGGAAUAAGCGUGGGAAACCGCGUCUAAUGCCGAAUCCGACCUCCUUUCGCAUGAUCGGAGGUGGAAAGCUCCGGCGGAGAAGGAUGAGCUCGCGGCCUAUCAGCUAGUUGGUGAGGUAACGGCCCACCAAGGCGACGACGGGUAGCCGGCCUGAGAGGGUGACCGGCCACACUGGGACUGAGACACGGCCCAGACUCCUACGGGAGGCAGCAGUGGGGAAUAUUGGACAAUGGGCGAAAGCCUGAUCCAGCAACGCCGCGUGAGGGAUGACGGCCUUCGGGUUGUAAACCUCUCUCAGCAGGGACGAAGCGAAAGUGACGGUACCUGCAGAAGAAGGACCGGCCAACUACGUGCCAGCCGCCGCGGUAAAAC